GACGUAGGGCGCGAGCGUUGUCCGGAUUUAUUGGGCGUAAAGGGUGCGUAGGCGGCUAGAUAAGUCCGGUGUGAAAGUCACAGGCUCAACCUGUGAAUGCCGCUGGAAACUGUCUGGCUAGAGUCCGGAAGGGGCGAGUGGAAUUCCUGGUGUAGCGGUGAAAUGCGCAGAUAUCAGGAGGAACACCAAUGGCGAAGGCAGCUCGUUGGGACGGUACUGACGCUGAGGCGCGAAAGCGUGGGGAGCAAACAGG
rnacentral:rRNA from 1 species